rnacentral:rRNA from 1 species
AUAGUUAUUAAAAAUUUGUUUAAUGUUGUACAGGAGAAAGUAGACUAUUUGAAAUUUGUUUAAAUAAAGUUUGUGAAAUUAAUGUGAAAUAAUAAAUUGAUUAAGAAAAAUAUUAGUUUACCUUUUGUAUAAGGGGGUGUUAAAAUAAUUUUUAUUAUAAAAUCCCGAAAUAAAAGGAGUUAGUUAUUUUUUUUAUUUAAUGUGGCAUUAUUUAAAUUAAUAAUAUGCUAGAGUUGAAACGAUAUUCUGCUUUUAUGAUAUCUGGUUGUUAUCAGAUUAAAUUUAUUUAGUUUGAUUUAUGGUUUCUUAUAUUUACAAUAAGGGGUUAUGGGUUGAGUAAUGCCUAAAGGGACAAUCUUUUAGGUAGAGUAUUUAAUAAUUAUUUAAAAUUAAUAAAAUUUUAGUAGGCUUAAGAACAGCUAUCUUUUAAAAUUAAGUUAUAUUAACUUUGGGGAGUUGAUUAGAUUUAUUAAGAAAUUUUAUUUAGAAGAUAACUUUACUGUUAAACAAGCUUUAAGUAUAAAUACUGACAUUAUUAGUAAUAGAAAUUUUAUUUUGUAAUGGUUUAGCUAGUAGUGUGCUUUAUGAAUUCGACAAGAUUAUUAAAGACUGUUUAACAAAAACAUUUCUUUUCGGUUAAAUGAAAAGUAAAACCUGCCCACUGAUUAAAUUUGAAGGGCCGCGGUAUUUUGACCGUGCAAAGGUAGCAUAAUCAUUAGCCUCUUAAUUAGAGGAUGGAAUGAAUGGUUUAACUUUAAUAAAUUUUAUUAGGUUUAUUUUUGAAUUUAGGUUGUAAGUGAAAAUACUUAUAUUGUUCUAUAAGACGAUAAGACCCUAUAGAUCUUUAUUCUGAUUUUAUUAGUUAAUUUGGGGGAAUUAACUAGUAGAUUGAGGAUUUUAGCUGGGGCAGCUUAAGAAAUAGGACAAACUUCUUAUUACACGGAUUUAUUCAAAUUAGUUAAUCUAAGUUGGUAAAAGGAAAAAGUUACCUUAGGGAUAACAGCGUAAUCAAUUUAGAGAGCUCAUAUCGAUAAAUUGGAUUGCGACCUCGAUGUUGAAUUAAGAAACCUAGUUAGGGCAGCUUUUWACUAAGGUGGUUUGUUCAACCAUUAAAUUCUUACAUGAUUUGAGUUCAGACCGGCGUGAGCCAGGUUGGUUUCUAUCUUUAGAUGGUUAAGAUGGCAUUUAGUACGAAAGGAUUAGUGGUUAUAAAAAUUUUAAUAGUUUGUUUAAAUUUCAUUUUAUACUCUGG